AGGGGUUGAAUCGGAGCUGUAGCCACCGGCCUACGCCAGAGCCACAGCAACGUGGGAUCCGAGCCGCGUCUGCAACCUACACCACAGCUCGCGGCAACGCCAGAUCGUUAACCCACUGAGCAAGGGCAGGGACCGAACCCGCAACCUCAUGGUUCCUAGUCGGAUUCGUUAACCACUGCACCACGAUGGGAACUCCCACUUAAAACCUUUUGUACAACAAAGGAAAGCAUCAACAAAAUGAUAAGACAACUUACAGAAUAGGAGAAAAUAUUUGCAAAUGAUAUGACUGAUAAGGGGUUUAUAUUCAAAAUAUAUAAACAGCUAAUAUAACUCAAUAUAGGAAAAUACAAAAUUGGUAAAAAACCUGAAUAGACAUUUUUUGAAAGUAAUACAGAUGACCAAUAGGCACAUGAAAAUAUGCUAAACAUCACUAAUCAUCAUAAAAAUGCAAAUCAAAACCACAAUGAGGGAGAUGCUAAAAAGGGGGGACCCAAGUACAUUGCUGUUGGAAAUGUAAACUGGUUCAGCCACUAUUAAAAACAAAAUGGAUGUUCCACAGAAAACUGAAAACAGAACUACCAUAUCAUCCAGCAAUUCAAAUCCUGAGUGUAUAUUCAAAGAAAAUGAAAACAUUAAUUUGAAAGGAUACAUCAACCGUGGUGUUCACAGCAGCAUCACUUACAAUAACCAACAAAUGGAAGCAACCUAAUUUCCAUCAACAGAUGAAUGGAUAAAGAAAAUGAAGUAUAUGUACACAAUAGAAUACCAGUCAGACAUAAAAAAGAAUGAAAUAUUGGACUUCCCAUUCUGGCGAAGCAAAAACUAGUAUCCAUGAGGAUAUGGGUUCGAUACUCAGCCUUGCUCAGUGGGUUAAGAAUCUGACAUUGCCGUGAGCUGUGGUGUAGGUCACAGAUGUGGCUCAGAUCCCAUGUUGCUGUGCCUGUGGUGUAUGCUGGCAGUUGUAGCUCUAAUUUGACCCCCAUCCUGGGAACCUCAAAAUGCCAAGGAUACAGCCAUAAAAGGCAAAAAAAAAAAAAAAGCAUGAAGUUUUGCCAGUUGCAAAAUCAUGAAUGGACCUGGAGGGUAUUAUGCCUAGUGAAAUAAGUUAGAGAAAGACAAGUAUUGUAUGUUAUCACUUACAUAUGUAACCCAAAAUAUAAAAUGAAUAUAACAAAACAGAAAUACACUCACAAAUGUAGACAAGAAACUAGAAGACAGGAGGGGCAAAAUCAGGGUAGGGCAUUAAGAAGUAGAAACUACUAUGUAUAAACUAAUUAAGCUACAAGGAUAUAUUGUACAGCACAGGGAAUAUAGCCAAUACUUUAUAAUAACUUCAAAUGGAGUAUAAUCUGUAAAAAUUGUGAAUCACUAUGUUGUACACCUGAAACUAAUAUUAUAAAUCAAACAUAUGUCAAUUAAAAACAUAGGAUCACCUCUUUGGUUAGUAGGUAAAUGUGUUUGUGGUAGUAAUAAAUAAAUAAGGCAAUACAAAAACACAUUUACUUUAGGAGGUCCUGCUGUGGCACAGUGGGUUAGGAAUCUGAAGUGGCUCAGGUCACUGCAGAGGUAAAGGUUCAAUCUCUGAACCAUCACAGUAGGUUAAUGAUCUGGCCCUGCCACAGCUUGGUCAGAGGUCAUAGCUGUGGCACAGAUCAUAGCAGUGCUCUGAUUUAAUCCCUUUAUGCCGCAGACGCAGGCAUAAAAUUCAAAAAAAAAAACAAACAAACAAAAAAAAACCACAUUACUUUGCUCUAGUCCCCUUAUUGAAACUUGAAAAAAUUGUAAACAUUAUAUUUUUUAUUUUUUGGUUUUUUGGCCAUACCAGAAUAUUCAGAAGUUCCCAAACCAGGAAGCAAAACUAUUCCACUACUUUGACACAAGCCAUAGCAGUGUCCUUAACCUGCUAUGCCACCAAGGUACUCUGUGAACAUUUAAAAAGUAAAUAAACUAAAUGAAGAAACAAACAUGAGCAUACAAUGUACUAAAUGCCACAAAGCUUUAAAUAAAUAUUUAAAGAAAAAAUGAUUAUUCAUUGUAGAAUAAGAUGCUAUGAAAUAGACAUUUUCAUAUAUUGCCAACAGUAAUACAAGGAUUAGAAAACAACUUGGCAAUAAUCCUUUGACCUUAUCUUGAAUAAAUCUGCCUUUUUCAUCUAUAUAAAUAAAAUAAUUCUAAGGAAAUAAUUUUAAUGACAAAAGAUAUGAAUCUAAGAAUUAUUUAAAACAGCCAAAAAAAAACUGCGAAUAAGUAAAAUGUGCAAUAAUGACUAAGUAAACAGUCAUGUAUAAAAGUCACAUGAUACCAUACCAGCCACUAUAAGUAAUUCAGAAAGUUCAAUUACAAUAUGAAAACUACUUCAUGCUAAAAUGUUCACUAGCAUUAGGAUUAAGAUGGCGGAAUAGAAGGACUGUAGCUCAACUCCUCUCCUAAAAACAACAAAAUUUACAAACCAAAUACCCAGCACUCUCCACCCAAAUGGAGCAGAAACAUUGAAAAAUAUAUCCUACUCCAGAAGAAAAAGAGGAGGCCACAUCAAGAGGCAGAAGAGGCAAUUACACUAUAUAAACAACCCCAUACCUCCCAGGUGGGAAGCCCCACAGACUGGAAUCUAACUGUACCACAGAGACUCACCCAAAGGAGUGAGAGUUCUGAGCCCCACAUCAAACCCCCAUGCGUGGGGAUCUGGCACUGGGAGAAAGAGCCCCUGGAGCAUCUGGCAUUGAAGGCCAGUGGGGCUUGUGCACAGGAGCUCCAUGGGACUGGGGGAAACGGAGAACCCAUUUUUAAAAGGUGCACACAUACAUACAUUCAAGUGCACUAGGUCCCAAGGCAAAGCUAACUCUCCACAGGAAUGUGGGUUAAAGCUGACUGCCAUUCUUGGAGGACCUCCUGGCAAAACAGGGGUGAAUGUGCCUUGCUGGGGGGAAGGACAUUGGAAGCAAAGAUCUUGGGAAUAUUCAGCAGCAUGCCUUUCUCUGGAGGAGGACAUUUUGGGAUAAUCUGGCCCCAUCCAUCAGUCAGCACUGAGAAGCCCCAGGGCAAACAACAAUCCAGGUGGGAUGACACAAAUAUCCAACAGUAAACAGGCUGCCUAAAGUCCCCCUAGGCACACAGCUGCCUCUAAUCUCAGCCAGAGACUAAGCCCCACCCACCAGAGGGAUAGGAUCAGCUCCACCUACCAGUGGGCAGGCAUCAGCCCCUCCCAUCAGGAAGCCUACAGCAAGCCCCCAUACUGACUUCAGCCACAAGGGGGGCAGACACCAGAAGUAAGAGAGGCUACAACGCCAGUAUCUGUAAAAAGGUCACCACACCAAAAACCUAUAAAAAUGAAAAGACAGAGAACUAUAACUCAGAUGAGGGAGAAAGACAAAACCCCAGAAUAUCAGCUAAGUGAUCAGGAGAUUCUUGGCCUCCAGGAAAAAGACUUUAGAUUGUUGAUGC
rnacentral:lncRNA from 1 species